CGGGCGUGCUUAACACAUGCAAAGUCGAACGAGAGGGACAUGGGAAGCUUGCUUCCUAUGAAAUCGAGUGGCAAACGGGGUGAGUAAACGCGUAAACAACCCCUGCCCUUCGGAUGGGGAUAACAGCCGGAAACGGCUGCUAAUACCGAAUACGAUCUUUUCGUCGCAUGACGGAAAAGAAGAAAAGGAAUGGCCUCUAUACAAAGCUAUCGCCGAAGAGGGGUUUUGCGUCUGAUUAGCUGGUUGGAGGGGUAACGGCCCAACAAGGCGAUGAUCAGUAGCCGGUCUGAGAGGAUGAACGGCCACAUUGGGACUGAGACACGGCCCAGACUCCUACGGGAGGCAGCAGUGGGGAAUCUUCCGCAAUGGACGAAAGUCUGACGGAGCAACGCCGCGUGAGUGAAGAAGGUCUUCGGAUUGUAAAGCUCUGUUAUACGGGACGAAAAAGACGGAUGCCAACAGUAUCCGUCCGUGACGGUACCGUAAGAGAAAGCCACGGCUAACUACGUGCCAGCAGCCGCGGUAAAU
rnacentral:rRNA from 1 species